rnacentral:rRNA from 1 species
UACGUAGGCAGCAAGCGUUGUUCGGAGUUACUGGGCGUAAAGGGUGUGUAGGCGGUUGGAUAAGUGUGGUGUGAAAUCUCCCGGCUUAACUGGGAGGGUGCGCUACAAACUGUCUGACUAGAGUGUGGGAUGGGAGAGUGGAAUUCCUGGUGUAGCGGUGAAAUGCGUAGAUAUCAGGAGGAACACCGGUGGUGUAGACGGCUCGUCUGGACCAUAACUGACGCUGAGAACACGAAAGCGUGGGUAGCAAACAGG